rnacentral:rRNA from 1 species
AGUGAACGCUGGCGGUAGGCCUAACACAUGCAAGUCGAACGGCAGCACAGUAAGAGCUUGCUCUUACGGGUGGCGAGUGGCGGACGGGUGAGGAAUACAUCUGAAUCUACUUUUUCGUGGGGGAUUACGUAGGGAAACUUACGCUAAUACCGCAUACGACCUACGGGUGAAAGCAGGGGAUCUUCGGACCUUGCGCGAUUGAAUGAGCCGAUGUCGGAUUAGCUAGUUGGCGGGGUAAAGGCCCACCAAGGCGACGAUCCGUAGCUGGUCUGAGAGGAUGAUCAGCCACACUGGAACUGAGACACGGUCCAGACUCCUACGGGAGGCAGCAGUGGGGAAUAUUGGACAAUGGGCGCAAGCCUGAUCCAGCCAUACCGCGUGGGUGAAGAAGGCCUUCGGGUUGUAAAGCCCUUUUGUUGGGAAAGAAAAGCAGCAGGUUAAUACCCCGCUGUUCUGACGGUACCCAAAGAAUAAGCACCGGCUAACUUCGUG